rnacentral:tRNA from 2 species
UACAUUAAGGUGUAAGAUGCACGUCAGUUUUUGAUACUGAAAGUGUUAGUUUGAUUCUAUCUAAUGUAA